rnacentral:snRNA from 1 species
GGAUGUGAGGGCGAUCUGGCUGCGACAUCUGUCACCCCAUUGAUCGCCAGGGUUGAUUCGGCUGAUCUGGCUGGGUAGGGGGGGGUGGCC